rnacentral:rRNA from 1 species
CCUCCAUGUGUAGCGGUGAAAUGCGUAGAUAUAUGGAAGAACACCAGUGGCGAAGGCGGCUGUCUGGUCUGUAACUGACGCUGAGGCUCGAAAGUAUGGGUAGCAAACAGGAUUAGAUACCCUGGUAGUCCAUACCGUAAACGAUGAAUGCUAAGUGUUGGAGGGUUUCCGCCCUUCAGUGCUGCAGCUAACGCAUUAAGCAUUCCGCCUGGGGAGUACGGCCGCAAGGCUGAAACUCAAAGGAAUUGACGGGGGCCCGCACAAGCGGUGGAGCAUGUGGUUUAAUUCGAAGCUACGCGAAGAACCUUACCAGGUCUUGACAUACUAUGCAAAUCUAAGAGAUUAGACGUUCCCUUCGGGGACAUGGAUACAGGUGGUGCAUGGUUGUCGUCAGCUCGUGUCGUGAGAUGUUGGGUUAAGUCCCGCAACGAGCGCAACCCUUAUUAUCAGUUGCCAGCAUUAAGUUGGGCACUCUGGUGAGACUGCCGGUGACAAACCGGAGGAAGGUGGGGAUGACGUCAAAUCAUCAUGCCCCUUAUGACCUGGGCUACACACGUGCUACAAUGGAUGGUACAACGAGUUGCGAACUCGCGAGAGUAAGCUAAUCUCUUAAAGCCAUUCUCAGUUCGGAUUGUAGGCUGCAACUCGCCUACAUGAAGUCGGAAUCGCUAGUAAUCGCGGAUCAGCAUGCCGCGGUGAAUACGUUCCCGGGCCUUGUACACACCGCCCGUCACACCAUGAGAGUUUGUAACACCCAAAGUCGGUGGGGUAAC